UACGAACCGUACAAACGUUAUUCGGAAUCACUGGGCUUAAAGGGUGCGUAGGCGGCCAUGUAAGUGAGGUGUGAAAUCCCUCAGCUCAACCGAGGAACUGCGCUUCAUACUGCAUGGCUUGAGGGAGACAGGGGUAAGCGGAACUGAUGGUGGAGCGGUGAAAUGCGUUGAUAUCAUCAGGAACACCGGUGGCGAAAGCGGCUUACUGGGUCUCUUCUGACGCUGAGGUACGAAAGCUAGGGGAGCGAACGGG
rnacentral:rRNA from 1 species